UGCUUCGCGGCGGCCAACAGCACCACU
rnacentral:piRNA from 1 species